rnacentral:tmRNA from 1 species
GGGGCUGACCGGUUUUGACAGCGGGCAGAAGUGAUCUGUAAGCAUGUGGUGCGUCGUUGGUUUGCACCUUAAUCUCAGCCGGCGAUCUUUUAUCUGGCGAAUAUUCUUACGCUUGCGCUGCGUAACCGAAGUACAGUAGGUUAGACGCUUAAUCCCCGCACGGGUGUGGGGACGCAACAUCACCCGGAUGCUCUGGCUCCGAAGCGGUCCGAUAUGGUGGUGCGGUAAUAUCGGGGAUAGUUUGCCGUAGCCUCGGACGGUGAGCGAACAUUAAGAGGCUAAGGUGUGGGUUGGUAGCUCCGGUCUUGCCCCCUCCCGACAAUUGAAGCGGAGAUAAACAUGUAGAAAGCGGAUUAAUUCCUCGUUUGGACGAGAGUUCGAAUCUCUCCAGCUCCACGG